UAUUUGGCCUCAUGGGAGUAUGUAACCUAUAAAUGCUGUUGCUAUGGUUGUGAGUAGGAGGAUAAUGCCAAUAUUUCGGGAUUCUAGGUAAAGGAAAGAAC